CUGAAGGAAGUGGGUUACCAAGAGCCAGGCUCUCACCCCAGCUUCUGCCAGGGUUCCUAGAAGCUGGAAGUGAAAUAUACAGACUUUCCUGCCACCGGCACUCCCUGCAGUGCCCCCUGCUUGGAGAGGAGCAGCUGUGAGAUACGGCCAGUCCCUCGCAAUCUGAUUGCCGGGGAGGGCCACUGACUGGCAGCUCGCACUCUGCAUCCCCUGUUGUAAUUCUUGCCGGGAAAGGACAUGGGAGCUGGGCAUAUUACCAGUAAGUCUCUGGCAUGAAAAAGAUUUCACCCAGAACAGGAGACCUGGAGCAGACUUUGAGCAGGAGAUGGGCCCAAAAUCCUGGAGCCGUACUGCCCUGCAGCCUUGACACAUUCCCUGGCUACUCGCCUCGCUGUCCACAACCAGCAGAACCAAAAUGCCAGCUCAGAACAACCCCCCCACUUUGGGGACAUCUGAAAUCUGCAUCUGAAUUCUACAGCCGGGGUCAUUCGCAAGUCACAGCACCACAUGGGCAGUUCCUCUCUGGAUCCUACCACUUGAGAACGGCACUGCCCAAGCCAAAGAGCAGAUGAGCUCCCCUUCCCUUCCUAGUCCUCCCAAGGAGUUUAUCUGCGGCUCGGGGUUGGUAACGGGACACUGAGCUUUUCAGCUCUAAGUAAGCGGUUCCAAUCCGGCGCAGCUCGGUGAUGACUGAAAGUUAUUGCCAUCUGUUCGGUGGCCUGUGUGAAGUGAACUGGUGGGUGUCUCUCUACCUUCUAGGGGCAGAUGUUCUCGUUGCAGUCCACCACUGCCUGCCCCCACACCCUGCUUGGCUGGCUGUCUCAGCAGAGAAUCAAGGGUGCAAAUGAACUCCCCUCUGAGCCCUAGAGGUGACCCCUCCGGGUCACAGCUGAGCAGGGAGAGCGUUGGGGGUGCCUGGCCUGUAUCUGCUCUGUUGAUCAAGUUGUGGGCUGAGGAAGCACUUCUCACCAGCGCAAAAUGGCUUUAAAUAAAUGAGGUUGGCUCGAGCCCUGAAGCAUGA